AUUGAACGCUGGCGGCAUGCCUUACACAUGCAAGUCGAACGGUAACAGGUCUUCGGAUGCUGACGAGUGGCGAACGGGUGAGUAAUACAUCGGAACGUGCCUAGCAGUGGGGGACAACUACUCGAAAGAGUGGCUAAUACCGCAUGAGAUCUAAGGAUGAAAGCAGGGGAUCGCAAGACCUUGUGCUACAAGAGAGGUCGAUGGCAGAUGAGGUAGUUGGUGGGAUAAAAGCUUACCAAGCCGACGAUCUGUAGCUGGUCUGAGAGGCCGAUCAGCCACACUGGGACUGAGACACGGCCCAGACUCCUACGGGAGGCAGCAGUGGGGAAUUUUGGACAAUGGGCGCAAGCCUGAUCCAGCAAUGCCGCGUGCAGGAUGAAGGCCUCCGGGUUGUAAACUGCUUUUGUACGGAACGAAAAGCCCUGGGUUAAUACCCUGGAGUCAUGACGGUACCGUAAGAAUAAGCACCGGCUAACUUCGUGCCAGCAGCCGCCGUAA
rnacentral:rRNA from 1 species